rnacentral:misc_RNA from 1 species
CAGUGCCAUUUCCGUGCUUCAUAGGUUGUCACUUACAAUUAGUUUGUAUUUUUAUUUUUAAUCCAAUACGGGCCCAAUUAUAUAGCCUAAUAGGCAGUUGAAACCUACAACCUAGUCUGGGCUCUAAUGCCAUAUUAAAUUCGGAGAGAGUGUUGGUCAAAUUAUAAUUUAAUUCAUUUUAAUUUGAGUUUAUAUAAGUUAUUAGAUUGCUUUACAUAUUAAAAUAAUUAGCCAAGUCAAUGUUACAACCCAAUUACUUAUAUAUUGCCCUUUUACUUCAUAUUCUUCGAUGUGAGAUUCCAAUGGAAUCUUUCUUUGCUCCAAAUUCUUGUUAUCUUCAACUAGACAAAAGUUCAAACUUGCUUCUAUCAGGAGAAGACGUUUCAGACCAUCUUUCGGCACCCAUUUCACACAAAUCACUCUCUUUCUCUCUCCUUCCCUUUUAUAAUUUUUGUCUUUUGGUUUUGAGCCCUAUCUCACUAGAUGGUUUCUCCUAUGUCUGUAUACCUUUCAUCUUCAUACCAAAAUAGAAUUUGCAAGUUAACAUCAGUAGGCAAAAUAUUGCUGUCAGGUGGGCUUUUUUCUUAGUUUACAUGAAUAGCAGAAAGGUCUUGGAUCAAAUUACAAUUAUAAUCAAUUUGCUAAUAAAUAAUCUUCUAAAUAUGUCAUUAUUGUUGCCUAUUUUUUCUAUUCAAGUCCAAGUUGUCACCUUUGCUACAUUUUCUUCAUUUUGAAAGGCUAAAACCAAUGACUGCAAGUUUCUUGAGGUAUUUCGAUGGUAAUUUUGAUUCUUCUGCAUAGGUUUGGUGGCUUCAAAUCAAUGAUCAACUUAGAGAAUUAUUACUUUAUAUUAUUGUAAGAGUGAAAAUUAUGUUUCGUAUUCAAAAUGUGCACCAUCAAUUGACACUAGAGCGUAAAUUGGGGUGGUGGAUAUCAACAUCAUGGACGUCCUGCAUUCACAUUAGGUGCUAUAUAUUGCAUCAGCAAUGUCCCUGUAGGGGAUAAGAUUGACAGAUAGGCGAUUCUACUAGAUGGUCCGGUCGACAAAAAGCGACUGCAUAGCUACCAUAAUAUUUCAUUUAAUCCCCAGUUGUUGCAUAACCAAAAAUUUCCAUCAAUCCAUCAAAACUGUCUCUCCAUGGUCCCAAAUGCUCCUGACCUUUCACACUAAUGCCUGUUUUUAUAUUCUGAAUUAUUAAUACAGGGGGUGGUGGUGUGUGCUGACCUUAUCCCCCUUAGAUAACAUGUAAUCUUGAUGAAUGGCUAUGCUAGCUGUACUAGGAUUAUUCAGGAUUGAAGUUGAAACUGCUUUUUUGGAAAGCACCCUUUAGACCCUCUAAUAAACAUAUUUAAGAUAGUGAAUUUCUUGAUAGCAGCUCAAAAAGAAAUGCUAGUUGGCUUGAACAAGUUAGACCAAGAAAUAAAUUAUAAAAGAUAAAGCUGUUUACCUCUUCACUGGUGGAAUAGUGGCUGCAGGCAGUGGUAGGCCAUCACUUGAAAAGGUGCCAACCAAUUUGCUUGUUGGAGGUUGAAUUCUUCAAACUACGGCACAAUUAACUAUAAUUUUUAAGUUUUAAAUGUGAUCUGGAUAUGUAGUUGUAUUAUUGUUUAUACAUGUGAUUAACAUAGCUUUUAUUAAAAUCAAUAUGCAGGGAAAAAAUGGGAGCAGGAAUUAUUCCAGCAGUGGACAAAGUAUCUCAUGACAAAUUUCUUUUUUGAAAACAAUAAAAUAUGAGAUUAUUAAUGACCAAUAGAGGUUGAAGUUAUAUAAAGAGAAUACGAUGAAAAUGAGUUAGGAAGAGAGUUAUUAUAAGGAAAUACUAAUUCUUUGACAGAUGUAUAAUAAAUAAAAGUUGGUCAUGAAAGGAUUUAUAUAUUUUUUAUAUUUGUGUUAAUUUCAUAAUUAAUUAUAGUUUGUUUUUUUAGCUCAAGUAGAUCUUCAUUAGAUAUGCGUUUUUUGAAGUGGUUUAUUAUCAUUAUUACAUAAAAAAUUAUUGAAAAGAAAAAGCCAAUGUGAUUCAA